UGCGGCUGUGGCUGCAGCUGUGCCUGCGGCUGGGGUUGCUGUUGCUGUUGGGUUUCCACUGCUCUUGCAGCUUCGAGCCAGGCCGGGUUGAUAGCGCCAUGUAGCGUCUUAAGGGCUGCCAGGGUCGCUGAUCUGUCCCGCGUGGGUGCUGGGGUUGAUGGGUCGAGGUGUGUCCUGACCCAUUCGGGCCAGGUCGACCUGGGGAGGGAGGCCACUCGAGUAUGC
rnacentral:lncRNA from 1 species